UCAGUCGACUCCUACGGGGAGGCAGCAGUGGGGAAUUUGGACAAUGGGCGAAAGCCUGAUCCAGCCAUGCCGCGUGCAGGAUGAAGGCUCGGGUUGUAAACUGCUUUGUACGGAACGAAAGAACUCUGGUUAAUACCUGGGGUCCAUGACGGUACCGUAAGAAUAAGCACCGGCUAACUACGUGCCAGCAGCCGCGGUAAUACGUAGGGUGCAAGCGUUAAUCGGAAUUACUGGGCGUAAAGCGUGCGCAGGCGGUUAUAUAAGACAGAUGUGAAAUACCCCGGGCUCAACCUGGGAACUGCAUUUGUGACUGUAUAGCUAGAGUACGGCAGAGGGGGAGUGGAAUUCCGCGUGUAGCAGUGAAAUGCGUAGAUAUGCGGAGGAACACCGAUGGCGAAGGCAAUCCCCUGGGCCUGUACUGACGCUCAUGCACGAAAGCGUGGGGAGCAAACAGGAUUAGAUACCCUGGUAG
rnacentral:rRNA from 1 species